rnacentral:rRNA from 1 species
ACGGAAGGCAGCAGUGAGGAAUAUUGGUCAAUGGACGGAAGUCUGAACCAGCCAAGUCGCGUGCGGGAUGAAGGCCCUACGGGUCGUAAACCGCUUUUGUACGGGGAUAAAGUCACCCACGUGUGGGUGUUUGUAGGUACCGUAAGAAUAAGGAUCGGCUAACUCCGUGCCAGCAGCCGCGGUAAUACGGAGGAUCCGAGCGUUAUCCGGAUUUAUUGGGUUUAAAGGGAGCGCAGGCGGAGAUGCAAGCCAGCCGUAAAAUCGUUGAGCUCAACUCAAUCUCGCGGUUGGAACUGCAUCCCUUGAGUGCGGGAGAGGCAGGUGGAAUUCGUGGUGUAGCGGUGAAAUGCAUAGAUAUCACGAAGAACUCCGAUUGCGAAGGCAGCCUGCUGGUCCGUUACUGACGCUCAUGCUCGAAGGUGCGGGUAUCAAACAGGAUUAGAUACCCUGGUA